CAAUAGCGUAUAUUAAAGUUGUUGCCGUUAAAAAGCUCGUAGUCGAACUUCGGCCUUUGCCGCCCGGUCCGCCCUAUGGGUGUGUACUGGAGCGGUGGAGGCUUACCUCGUGGUGAACGGCCAUGCUCUUUACUGGGUGUGGUCGGGAACCAUGAUUUUUACUUUGAAAAAAUUAGAGUGUUCAAAGCAGGCUUACGCCCGAAUACAUUAGCAUGGAAUAAUAAAAUAGGACGUGCGGUUCUAUUUUGUUGGUUUCUAGAAUCGCCGUAAUGAUUAAUAGGGAUAGUUGGGGGCAUUCGUAUUCAAUUGCUAGAGGUGAAAUUCUUGGAUUUAUUGAAGACGAACUACUGCGAAAGCAUUUGCCAAGGAUGUUUUCAUUGA
rnacentral:rRNA from 1 species